rnacentral:rRNA from 3 species
AGCGGCGGACGGGUGAGUAACACGUGGGCAACCUGCCUAUACAGACUGGGAUACUUCGGGAAACCGGAGCUAAUACCGGAUACGUUCUUUUCUCGCAUGAGAGAAGAUGGAAAGACGGUUUCGGCUGUCACUUAUAGAUGGGCCCGCGGCGCAUUAGCUAGUUGGGGUAACGGCUCACCAAGGCGACGAUGCGUACCCGACCUCAGAGGGUCGGCCACACUGGGACUCAGACACGGCCCAGACUCCUACGGGAGGCAGCAGUGGGGAAUCUUCCGCAAUGGACGAAAGUCUGACGGAGCAACGCCGCGUGAACGAAGAAGGCCUUCGGGUCGUAAAGUUCUGUUGUGGAAGAACAAGUACCAGAGUAACUGCUGGUACCUUGACGGUACCUACCCAGAAAGCCACGGCUACCUACGUGCCAGCAGCCGCGGUAAUACGUACGUGUGCAAGCGUUUACCGGGAAUUAUUGGGCGUAAAGCGCGCGCAGGUGGUUUCUUAAGUCUGAAUGUGAAAUGCCCACGGCUCAACCGUGGAGGGUUACAUAAACUGGGAGACUGUGCAGAAGAGGAAAGUGGAAUUACCAUGUGUAGCGGUGAAAUGCGUAGAGAUAUGGAGGAACACCAGUGGCGAAGGCGACUUUCUGGUCUGUACCCACUGCGGCGCGAAAGCGUGGGGAGCAAACAGGAUUGGAUACCCUGGUACUCCACGCCGUACACGAUGCGUGCUAAGUAUGGUUACAGGGUUUCCGCCCUUUGCUGCCGAAGUUACCGCAUUAAGCACUCCGCCUGGGGAGUACGGCCGCAAGGCUCAAACUCAAAGGAAUCGGGGGCCCGCACAAGCGGUGGAGCAUGUGGUUUAAUUCGAAGCAACGCGAAG